UGAAACAGCACACAUUUACAGCUGAAGACUCUGUUAUAUACAGCUCUGUGGCUGUUUCAAAGCCAAAGUCUUCAGCAUCAACAGAUAAUGAGCAGGACGUGAACUACAGCUUUGUAAAAAUCGCUUCCAAGAAUAAAACUAAGUCUCCAAAAGAUGUUGGUGAUGAGACAAUCUACAGCAGCGUGGUUUGCUAGUAAUAGAUGUGUGAUUAAAAAAAAAAAUUUCUGUGUCUCUUACU